CACAAGCGGUGGAGCAUGUGGUUUAAUUCGACGAUAAGCGUGGAACCUUACCAAGGCUUGAAAUGAUAGGAGUACUCUGGUCGAAAUACCGGAGGACCGUAAAAUCGGAACCUAUCACAGGUGCUGCAUGGUUGUCGUCAGUUCGUGCUGUGAAGUGUACCGUUAAUUCGGACAACGAACGCAACCCUUACUCUAAUUUACAAUUCAUUAGAGGACCGCCUCGGUUAACGAGGAGGAAGGUGGGGAUGACGUCAAAUCAGCAUGGCUCUUACGCCUUGGGCGACACACGUGCUACAAUGGCCAGUACAAUGGGUUGCCAAACCGUAAGGUGGAGCCAAUCCCAUCAAAACUGGUCUCAGUUCGGAUUGAGGUCUGCAAUUCGACCUCAUGAAGUUGGAAUCGCUAGUAACCACGAAUCAGCCACGUCGUGGUGAAUACGUUCUCGGGUCUUGUACUCACCGCCCGUCACACCAAGAGAGUCGGGAGUACCCGAACCCCGCACAUAAGUCACAAACAAAUUUGCGGCUUGUGUGCGGGGGAAGGUAAGUCCGGCAAUAAGGGUGAAGUCGUAACAAGGCAUCCGUAGCGGAAGCUGUGGAUGGAUCACCUCCUUU
rnacentral:rRNA from 1 species